GCCUUCGGGCAUUUGGUCAAUUUGAAACGAUACAGAGAAGAUGUAAGCAUAUCCCUGCACCCCUCAGGUUCGAGUCUGGAAUCAGUCACUGACUUCCCUCACAGUAGCAUGGCCCCUGCACUAAGGAUGACACGCUCAAUCAAAGAGAAGCUACCAAUUUUU
rnacentral:snRNA from 1 species